rnacentral:rRNA from 1 species
UACGGGGGGGGCAAGCGUUGUUCGGAAUUACUGGGCGUAAAGCGUGCGCAGGCGGUUUUUUAAGCCAGAUGUGAAAUCCCCGGGCUUAACCUGGGAAUGGCAUUUGGGACUGCAAGGCUCGAGUGCGGCAGAGGAGACUGGAAUUCCUGGUGUAGCAGUGAAAUGCGUAGAUAUCAGGAGGAACACCGAUGGCGAAGGCAGGUCUCUGGGCUGACACUGACGCUCAUGCACGAAAGCGUGGGGAGCAAACAGG